UACGUAGGGUGCAAGCGUUAAUCGGAAUUACUGGGCGUAAAGCGUGCGCAGGCGGUUCGCUAAGACCGAUGUGAAAUCCCCGGGCUUAACCUGGGAACUGCAUUGGUGACUGGCGGGCUAGAGUACGGCAGAGGGGGGGUAGAAUUCCACGUGUAGCAGUGAAAUGCGUAGAGAUGUGGAGGAAUACCGAUGGCGAAGGCAGCCCCCUGGGCCAAUACUGACGCUCAUGCACGAAAGCGUGGGGAGCAAACAGG
rnacentral:rRNA from 1 species